rnacentral:rRNA from 1 species
UACAGAGGUCCCAAGCGUUGUUCGGAUUCACUGGGCGUAAAGGGUGCGUAGGUGGUGAGGUAAGUCGGAUGUGAAAGCUCGGAGCUCAACUCCGAAAUGGCAUUGGAAACUACCUUGCUCGAGGGUUGGAGGGGGGACUGGAAUGCUUGGUGUAGCAGUGAAAUGCGUAGAUAUCGGGAGGAACACCAGUGGCGAAGGCGACUUCCUGGCCUGUUCUUGACGCUGAGGCGCGAAAGCUAGGGUAGCAAACGGG